UACGGAGGAUGCAAGCGUUAUCCGGAUUUAUUGGGUUUAAAGGGUGCGCAGGUUGUUUGAUAAGUCAGUGGUGAAAGUCUGUCGCUUAACGGUAGGAUUGCCAUUGAUACUGUUGGACUUGAAUAUGGAUGAGGUAGGCGGAAUGUGUAGUGUAGCGGCGAAAUGCAUAGAUAUUACACAGAACACCGAUUGCGAAGGCAGCUUACUAAUCCAUCAUCGACGCUGAGGCACGAAAGCGUGGGGAUCAAACA
rnacentral:rRNA from 1 species